UUUCCUAGACUAUGGACUGGAACCAUAUAAAAAGAGCUCAUAUCCCAGUGCUCCUCAUUCAGUCAUCUUCACUCCUUUGCAUUUGUCCUAGCUGCUGAAGAGGCUUUGCCCACACGACAGAAGAUGUGCUCCCGCAGACCUUGCCACGAGCGUGAAACCUCCUGCCACAGUUCUGGGUCUCGCUGCCAUGAGUCCAGACCUUCCUGCAACAUCACUGUGGUAGAGAGACCAUACUGCUGGCAAGGGCAACAAUACCGUCCACCCUACUAUCCAGUGCAACCCAUCUACCCAGGCUAUCAGCAGUGCUGCAAGUACCCUAAGAUCCCACAGUGCCCCCAGUACCCACAGUACCCCCAGUAUCCCCAGUUCCCACAGUACCCCAAGUAACAGCCAGAAGAACAGCAAGGAGAGAAGCCAAGACCUGCAUGUUCCCUUCCUCCUGUUAUGAAGAUGGCUCAUGUGCCGAAGGUUGCUUUGUCUUGUUGCAUAAAUUGCAGCUUCUCUGUGUAUGUCUGUGCCAUGUUUUGAAGAUUUGCCCACUGUAUAAGUGUGAAAUGUUCUUAACGAGGGUCCUUUACAGUGUUGUGUAUGCUCCCAGACUAUGGGAAUUGUUCUAAUCUUGCUUUCCUGCUUCCUACUGCAGCUUGAUAUGGCACACAAUAAAACCUAACAUUCACAAAA